rnacentral:rRNA from 1 species
AUGAAUGCUGGCGGCAUGCCUAAUACAUGCAAGUCGAGCGGCAGCAUGGGUCUCAUCCUGUCUUGAAGCGAUUCGAGAAUAGAAUGAGACCUGAUGGCGAGCGGCGGACGGCUGAGUAACGCGUGGGAACGGACCCCAAACUGAGGGAUAACUACUCGAAAGAGUGGCUAAUACCGCAUGUGAUCUUCGGAUUAAAGGAUUUAUCCGGUUUGGGACUGGCCUGCGUACGAUUAGAUAGUUGGUGAGGUAAUGGCUCACCAAGUCGACGAUCGUUAGAUGGUUUGAGAGGAUGAUCAUCCAGACUGGGACUGAGACACGGCCCAGACUCCUACGGGAGGCAGCAGUAGGGAAUCUUUCACAAUGGGCGAAAGCCUGAUUGGAGCAAUGCCGCGUGCAGGACGAAGGCCUUCGGGUUGUAAACUGCUUUUAUAAGCGAGGAAUACGACGGUAACUUAUGAAUAAGGAUCGGCUAACUACGUGCCAGCAGCGGC